CUUCCGUAAGGGGAACCUGCGGAAGGAUCAUUA
rnacentral:rRNA from 1 species